CUGACCCUCCGGACGCGCGUGCGGUCACGGCGACCCUCGUGUGUCCGAACGUAGUACACACACAUAUAUAUACCUGCGCUCGCGGAGAUAACACUCCGUUCUCGUGUCGCUGUUGUCGCUGUUGUUGUUGUUGUUGUUGUCGUUGUGUACGCGGGGGUCGACAGCGAACACGUAUACGUCCGCGUAAAGAGGGGAGGGAGCCGGAAAACGGUCGGCAAGCCCCGUAUCCGUAUCGCGCGCGUACGCCGCAGAUAAAUGUCCGUGACUUCCUGUUUGCGUUUUGUUUGCAGGACCCCAAUAAAAAAAAAAAAAAAAAAAAAACAACUGUAUAAAAAAACGCCCGAACAAAUAAACAAACCGUUUCACGCCGGAGGAGGCCCGAGAAGACCGGAAAAUCCGAGUACACGCCUCCCUCUCGCUCUCGGAACCGCGGUAAGCCGAUUUUCCGUCGCGUCGUCGGUUUAGCCCGUAAACGGAACAGUUCUCGUGUGCCGGUCAGGGAG